UACGUAGGUGGCAAGCGUUAUCCGGAAUUAUUGGGCGUAAAGCGCGCGCAGGCGGUUGGUCAAGUCUGAUGUGAAAGCCCGGGGCUCAGCCCCGGAAGGGCAUCGGAAACUAGCCAGCUGGAGCGCGAUAGAGGAGGGUGGAAUUCCUGGUGUGGCGGUGAAAUGCGUAGAUAUCAGGAGGAACACCGGCGGCGAAGGCGGCCCUCUGGAUCGUUGCUGACGCUGAGACGCGAAAGCGUGGGGAGCAAACAGG
rnacentral:rRNA from 1 species